UUAAUUUUUCGGGACACAGACGAUACAUUACCAUAUCCAUGAUGAUCAAGAUUAUGAUGAUGAGAUUUGGCAUGUGUGAUUUGAGUAUUCAAUGAAGAUGUGGCAUGUGGAAUCUCACCCAAAAGCCUUUCAAGCUCAUCAUCAUCCUUCAUGAUUUCUACUAGUUUCUCGAUCUUCACUCUCUCAAACUUCAAAUUAACAAGAAAAACAACCACAAAAUAGAUACAAAAAAUCAAGAUUUAAACAGAAACAAUGAAAACUGUGGAAAAAAAUUAGAGGAGAUUCAUCUAGAAAUGAUCAAAAGAAGAGAAAAUAACGAAGACCCACGAGAAAUUACCACUUUUGAGCAUCUGUGUUGGUCAGUCCAAUCGAUAAAAAUGGAAAAGGAUGAUGAAAUGACGAAAUUUCAUAAGCAUUUCGUUUCGAUUUUCAUUUCAAGAAAGAUUUUCUUUUUCCUUUUGAUUUUUAAAGCUCGUUUCGGUUUUGAGCGAGAGUUGGUGAAGCAUGCAAAUAUGAAUGGAAUGGUUACAAACAUGUACUGUAGAUAAUACAUAUACACACUCUGGUACGUUCCCAAGCCAUUAAACCUGGAAAAAUGAAACGGACUCUCUCUCUCUCUCUCUCUCUCUCUCUAUACAUCCACGUCUUUCUGUAUGUAUAUAUUUGUACUACAAUACAGUGAGGAGUUUUUAGUGCGAGAAAAUUUGUUAAGAAAUAG
rnacentral:lncRNA from 1 species